GUCUGCAACCCGACUACAUGAAGCUGGAAUCGCUAGUAAUCGCGAAUCAGAAUGUCGCGGUGAAUACGUUCCCGGGUCUUGUACACACCGCCCGUCACACCAUGGGAGUCGGAAAUGCCCGAAGUCAGUGACCCAACCGCAAGGAGGGAGCUGCCGGAGGUGGAGCCGGUAACUGGGGUGAAGUCGUAACAAGGUAGC
rnacentral:rRNA from 1 species